UUUGUUGCAAUUUUUCUAAUUGAUAUCAAAGUAUCGAGUUACAUCAAGACAAUUAUUGAUGUGUAUCGAUGCGAUUCUGAGCUACUUGAUCAUACAUACUUAUCUCUCUAUAUUGGAUAGAUUGGAUAUUGGAUAGAUUUUCAAAAUUGAUCAUGUGAUCGCGUCGAUGGCAAUUUUAAAGACCUUAUUGGAAGAAAAGAUGGUAUAUAAGAAGAGGAAUGAAGAAUCCAACGAGAUUAUGGAUAUCUUUUCGAAAAGAGCCUGAUACUCUCCAGUCGCCGUUGCAUCAUCAACGGGACUUUCUGUUAAGCAGGUCAAGAACUUAGAAUUAUUUGUUAAUACAGAGUCUACAUCUGAGCUAUCAUCAACAGAAAGUGUACGUGGUAUUAAAAGAAAAGUGCAAUCAGCAUCAAAAGAAAAUAUGUACGGUCUGUUUAAGAAAAAGCUUAUAGAUCAAAAAAAUGAACACAAGAAAACAAAAGCUGAAAGGCAUAAAGAAAGACUAAUAAUGGA